CCAGAAGUAGUACUGUAGGUGGGCAACAACAUGCUUCGUGGUGCACCACAUACAGGGCUCCUCUCACUGACCACCAAUGAAAGAGAUGCCCCUUCUGGAAGUGCGGUGGUCUUGCUGAGUUGCUGUGCCCUUAAGAAUUUGUUAUUGUACAACAUCUACGAAUCUUGGUCAACCUUCUGAUGAUGAACUUCUGAAUUUGGCUAAACUGAUCCUGUGUUGAGAGCGGAUCAUGGCCAGGUAUGAAGAGGAAAAGGAUCUCAUUUUUGG